rnacentral:rRNA from 1 species
CGCCAGCACAGGAGAGCUUGCUCUCUGGGUGGCGAGUGGCGGACGGGUGAGGAAUACAUCGGAAUCUACUCUGUCGUGGGGGAUAACGUAGGGAAACUUACGCUAAUACCGCAUACGACCUACGGGUGAAAGCAGGGGAUCUUCGGACCUUGCGCGAUUGAAUGAGCCGAUGUCGGAUUAGCUAGUUGGCGGGGUAAAGGCCCACCAAGGCGACGAUCCGUAGCUGGUCUGAGAGGAUGAUCAGCCACACUGGAACUGAGACACGGUCCAGACUCCUACGGGAGGCAGCAGUGGGGAAUAUUGGACAAUGGGCGCAAGCCUGAUCCAGCCAUACCGCGUGGGUGAAGAAGGCCUUCGGGUUGUAAAGCCCUUUUGUUGGGAAAGAAAUCUAGCUGGUUAAUACCCGGUUGGGAUGACGGUACCCAAAGAAUAAGCACCGGCUAACUCCGUGCCAGCAGCCGCGGUAAUACGAAGGGUGCAAGCGUUACUCGGAAUUACUGGGCGUAAAGCGUGCGUAGGUGGUUAUUUAAGUCCGUUGUGAAAGCCCUGGGCUCAACCUGGGAACUGCAGUGGAUACUGGAUGACUAGAAUGUGGUAGAGGGUAGCGGAAUUCCUGGUGUAGCAGUGAAACGCGUAGAGAUCAGGAGGAACAUCCAUGGCGAAGGCAGCUACCUGGACC